rnacentral:rRNA from 1 species
AUUGAACGCUGGCGGCAUGCUUUACACAUGCAAGUCGAACGGUAACAGGGUGCUUGCACCGCUGACGAGUGGCGAACGGGUGAGUAAUACAUCGGAAUGUACCCAGUAAUGGGGGAUAACGCUUCGAAAGGAGUGCUAAUACCGCAUACGCCCUGAGGGGGAAAGUGGGGGACCGCAAGGCCUCACGUUAUUGGAGCAGCCGAUGGCUGAUUAGCUAGUUGGUGAGGUAAAGGCUCACCAAGGCGACGAUCAGUAGCGGGUCUUAGAGGACGAUCCGCCACACUGGAACGGAGACACGGUCCAGACUCCUACGGGAGGCAGCAGUGGGGAAUCUUGGACAAUGGGCGAAAGCCUGAUCCAGCAAUGCCGCGUGCGUGAAGAAGGCCUUCGGGUUGUAAAGUGCUUUUGUCUGGGAGCAAAUCCUGGCCUCUAAUACAGGUCGGGGAUGAGAGUACCAGAAGAAUAAGGACCGGCUAACUACGUGCCAGCCGCCGCGGUAA